GUUUACAGUUUAUUUUUCUUUCCUGUGUUUCCGAUUGCAUGUCUAUCUGUGCAUCUCAUGCGUGCAGUGUCCAUGGAGGCCAGCAGAGGGCAUCAUCGGGUCCCUGGAACUGAAAUAACAAACAGCUGUGCAUUGCUACCUAGGGGAAUCAAAUCCAGGUGCUCUGGAAGGGCAGCCGGCGAGGCAGAACUUCUGCGACCACCGGGGUAACCGGAAGCGACUCAUUUAUUGCAUUUUGAGACCCAUCGCCCAAGCCAAGAACUGAGCCUCCUGUGGCCAGAUUCCCCAGCCCAGCUCCCGGCACCCGUCACUUCUUCAGGAAUCUUGGUGGAGCCCCUGCCUCCUGGUGAUACAGGGCAGAAAACCUAAUUGCACAAGAAUCAUUUUCAAGAACAGAACUGUGUUUUGGAGCCAACAACCUGUCUGCCGCUAACCUCUUGGGAAGCUUCAGAUUCCUGCAGGAACUGCCCUCAGCCUCCUCCAGCUUCCCAGGCUGGCUUCCCUGUCCAGAGCUGCUCCCUACCUGCCAGCCCGGAGCACGUUCGUGAGAGAUUGUUCUACAGAAGUAAUGACUGCUGCGGGCGUAGGGGAGACAUUUACCUCUCGCCAAAGAGCAUUUCCCCAGCAUGCCCAUUAAACUCCAGCAUUUAACCAGGAACUACAGAUCUGAGCCCUGGGGAGGCCCCGGCACUUUGUAACCUGGGAGAGAAGGGAGCCACGGGCUCAUGCCGAUUUACCUCCCAUUACUCUCUCUCUAGGUUUUAGCAGGGAAAGGUGGCUUCAUAGAUGGUUGUUUCUGGCCUGUGACAGAUAUUUGGCAUUAGGAAACCUGAUUGCUGGUUGACUGAGGCUUGUAUUCAGUCCUCACCCACCCAUCCAUCAAUCGCCGCUGCGGUAGUUUGAAUGAAAAUGACUCCCAUGGCUCAUGUGAUUGAAUACUCAGUCUCCGGUUGGUAGGACUGUUUGAGAAGGACUAGGAGGUGUGGCUUUUGGAGGAGGCUGUGAGGCUUCAAAAACCCUUGCCACUUCCACGUAACUCUCUCUGCCUUCUACUUAUGGAUCAAGCUGUCCCUGCCACCACACCUUGCCCCGCUAUUGUGGACUCUAACCUUCUGAAACCAUAAGCCCAAUUAAACACUUCCUUUUAGAAGUUGCCUUGGUCUUGGUGUUUUGCCACCAUACUAGAAAAAUAAUGAUUAAGACACCUGCCCACAGGCUGGAGAGAUGGCUCAG